UCGGAAAAGGGAGCAAUCGCUGCCGACGUGGAUGUCGGGAGAGGAAAGUCCGGACUUCAUAGAAAAAGGCGCCGGUGAAAUACCGGGGGCCGUGAGGCUACGGAAAGUGUAACAGAAAACAGACCGCCGACUCUUCGGUGUCGGACAGGGUGAAAAUGUCGGGCUUACGGUUCGACCUCUCUGCGGAGACGCAGAGCAAGCUAUAAACCCCGCCUGAAGCAAGGUUGGAAUGUAGAGAUUGUGUAAGCGAUCUUUGACGUUCCGUGUUGCCGCUCGAGGAUUCCGGUAACGGGAUCCCUAGAUGAAUGAUUGCUCACAAGACAGAAUCCGGCUUACCCCUUUUCCGGAUUU
rnacentral:RNase_P_RNA from 1 species